rnacentral:lncRNA from 1 species
CCUGCCUCAGCCUCCCUAGUACCUGGGAUUAGAGGGCACAUGCCACCAUGCCCAGCUAAUUUUAAUAUUUUUAGUAGAGAUGGGAGUUUCACCAUGUUGGCCAGGGUGGUCUCGAACUCCUGACCUCAAGUGAUCCACCCACCUCAGCCUCUCAAAGUGCUGGGUUACAGGUGUAAGCCACCACACCCAGCCAGAGGCCUAGGUUUCUUAUUAGAAGAUAGACUGUGAUACUGAAAGCAAAUAAAAUGGUACAUGUUACCUGGCUGCAUUUCAAACAGGUGAUGGUGACACUGCACUGAAGCACCAAAGGUGAUUCUUGUUGGCCAGGCCAGAGCUCCUUGUGAAAAAGGUUAGGCCCACUGGUAUGUCUGAAGCGUCCUAGCUGGAUGGACAGAACCCCAUGAGCUGUUUUGAUUAGACUCUGAAUUUAAAACACCUUGGUGCCCAGUAAUGAGGACAUUUUCACAUUUAGCAUAACGUGAUUUGGUGUGUGGCUUGGAUUUGACAAAUCUUCACUGAGCUAAUGGCUGAUUGGAUUUACUUGGCCUGAAUGGAAAAUAAAAAUCACCUCUGAGCACUUUGGUGGUCUUUUUUAUACAUAUAGAUAUGAUAUCGGUGGCUAGAUAAACAUAUACACAGAAAGGCCAGGUUUGAAAGGGGUCCAUGGAUUGGCUUCAUUCACAGCUAAUGCUGACCCUACUUGCCCUAGAUCACUUAUAGCAGCACUCAACUAGACAAAGUGCCACAGCACACAGUUCCUUAAACCUAUACUCUUCUCACAACAUAAAUGCUUUCAGUCCAAAAUAAAAACCACCAAUCACUAUCCUAAAACAUGGCACACUCUGCUGGUCCUUUAAACUUUACAGAGGCUGGAGAAGGCAGCUCAUGUCUGAGUAAGUCUGCAUUUGGAAAACAACAUGCACACAUGCGUUAAUGCAAUGUUUAUGGAGCAUGCUCUGUGUGCUCAGAAGCACGCUACGGAGCUGGGAAGAUGACAUGAAUUUAUCCUUAUAAUACCCUGGGAGGUGGGUACUAACUGUCCCAUAAUUCCCUGGAUUUAUAUGAAAAGCCCAGCAUUUACAUUUCUUCUUGUUCUCACUGAUUUUUUUUAAUUUUUUUAUUUUUUUUUAAUGCAUGGAACAGGCCAGGCACGGUGGCUCAUGCCUAUAAUUCCAGCACUUUGGAGGGCCAAGGCAGGCGGAUCAUCUGAGGUCAGGAGUUCACGCAAAUCAGGGGGCCCGUGAAAGGCAACUGAGCAGGGAUCCAUGGGAAAGACACCCUCAGAGGCACAAGAUUCUCUCGUUACCUUUCAGUUUGCUGAUACUUCAGUUAAAGUCUCCUGGGAAACGUCUGCAUUAGGUUCUUCCUCUGUAGUUCUUCUUACCUUGCCUGUAAAACAAAACCUAUCUAGUGUCUGCAUAGGUUUCCACUUCUUGUCCCCACCUGAGGAAUGGAAAGCAACGGCACAGUCCUUGCUCAUGUUUUGGAGUGAAAGGAGCUUGAAGGUCAUGUGAGCUUUGCCAAGGCUUCUCCUGGCCUCAUGUCAGAUACAGCUCCUAACUCCCAAGCAGCCUACCAUAGUGUCCUCCUUUUUUUGCGUGUGUGAUGGGGUUUCGCACUUGUUGCCCAGGCUGGAGUGCAAUGGUACAAUCUCGGCUCACUGCAACCUCCGCCUCCCAGGUUCAAGUGAUUCUUCUGCCUCAGCCUCUCAAGUAACUGGGAUUACAGGCAUGCGCCACUAAGGGAGGAGACCACUCCUCAUAUUGUCUUAUGCCCAAUUUCUGCUUCCAAAGAAAGAAGAAGUAAAAACUAAAAGGCAGAAAUGAAAUCCACAGGCAGACAGCCCAGCGCCACACCAUGGGCCUGGUAGUUAAAGAUCGAGCCCUGACCUAAUCGGUUAUGUUAUCUACAGAUUACAGACAUUGUAUAGAAAAGCACUUUGAAAAUCCCUGUCCUGUUCUGUUCCAUUCUAAUUACUGGUGCAUGCAGCCUUCAGUCACUUACUCCCUGCUUGCUCAAUCGAUCACGACCCUCUCAUGCAAACCCCCUUAGAGUUGUAAGCCCUUAAGAGGGAUAGGAAUUGCUCACUCAGGGAGCUCAGUUUUUGAGACGUGAGUCUUGCCAAUGCUCCCGGCCGAAUAAAGCCCUUCCUUCUUUAACUCGGUGUCUGAGGGGUUUUGUCUACGGCUCGUCCUGCUACAUUUCUUGGUUCCCUGACUGGGAAGCGAGGUGAUUAACGGACAGUUGAGGCAGCCUGUUAGGCGGCUUAGGCCUGCCCUGUGGAGCAUCCCUGCGGGGGACUCCGGCCAGCUUGAGCGAUGCGGAUCCUGAGAGCGCUCCCGGGUAAGCAAAUUCCCUGGUGGAACGCCUCACCAGAGCAGCGUGUGGCAGCCCCCGCGGAGGAUCAAUGCAGUGACUGAACACCGGGAAGGAACUGGCACUUGGAGUCUGGACAUCUGAAACUUGGUAAGACUAGUCUUUGGAACUUGCCCACUCCAUUUGAGUGGAAGUGUGGCCUGAUCACCUAUGGCGUGCCUGUACCGGCACUUUGGUUUUUGUUUUUGACUUGACUUGGAUUGCUUGAUACUUUGGUUUUGGUUUUGACCUUGCUUGGAUUUCUAGAUACCCCGAUUUUGGUAUUGAUUCUGGUUUGGUGUAAACUGUAAAAGUAUGUGUGUGCCCUUUUUACCCGUUAUUUGUUUUGUGGUGUGCGUGUGGUGCGAGCGUGGUGUUUUGUCUUGAAGAAGCAUGGGUCAGGCACAAAGUAAGCCUGCCCCAGUAGGAGCUAUGUUGAAAAUUUUCAAGAAAGGAUUUAAGGGAGAUUACAGUGUUACUGUGAUACCAGGAAAACUUAGAACUUUGUGUGAAAUAGACUGGCCAGCAUUAGAGGUGGGUUGGCCAUCAGAAGGAAGAUUGGACAGGUCCCUUGUUUCAAAGGUACGGCACAAGGUAACCUGUAAGCCAGGGCACCCAGACCAGUUCCUGUACAUGGACACUUGGUUAUAGCUGGUUUUAGACCCCCACCCCACAAUGGUUGAGAGAACAGCAGCAUAAGCAAGCUUGCAGAGGCAAGGAAAGACCAGC